GGCAAGAUGGCCGAGUGGUCCAAGGCGCUGUCUUCAGGAUACUGGCAGUCCGAAAGGGCGUGGGUUCGAAUCCCACUCUUGUCA